rfam:Gossypium hirsutum cultivar TM-1 chromosome 11, whole genome shotgun sequence
AUACCAUGAUAAGGACACUUAAAAAGAAAUUCUUUGAAUCUUUCCUAUGUCUCGUAUAAGGACUCGUCAUCCAAUUGUUGGAAAGUAGUUAUCUCAUUUUGUAACUUU